UUCUCCAUCAGGAUUAUCCCACCACACCAUCAAAGAACCACAACUACCAAUCCUGAUUUCUCUGCACCUCCAUAUUCUCCAGAAACACAACAGUCCCAAAAAUUCAACAACAAAAUCCAGUCACAGGAAAUUCAAAAAUCAAAGUUCAAUAACAGAUCUUGGUUGUGUAAGAAGCAGAUCUGAAAAUACAAUUUCAAAACUCAAAAAAUUUGUUCUCUGGUUACCGAGAUCGAUUUCAUCAACAAACAAAUUUAGAAGAAGAAAGGGGUUAUAGUAGAAGAAUAAGAAGAAUUAGGUGAAGAUGAGGGUGAUAGUUUUUAACUUUUGUAUUGUUAAAAUUUUAUGGAUGAAGAUGAAGGGUCCGGUUACUGUGCAUAAGCCAAAGCUUAUGCACCGUCCAUAAGCUACAGUAAACUGCUGAAUACACCCCCACUUCGUUCAUACACCCCCAUGUCCUUGCUUCAUACACCCCCACUUCGUACCAAUAGACAAAAUCUUUCAGACAAAAUAUCUCCACUCCAACUCCGUCGUCGCUUCCAACUCCGCCGUCUGCGUUCGUACCAAUUCUAAGUUUCUGCUGCAAGCCUCACAGAACGAGAAUAAGAACUUUUGAUUUUGAAAGCGGUGAAGAGUAACUCAACAGGAUCAUCGAAGCUUUGGAAGUUACGUGAUCCAAAAUUAAGAAGUAACAGUGACGGAAAAGGUCCGUGUUUUUUAAUCUAACUCUCGAUACUCACUCAUCAUCACCGUCGCCAACAACAACGUCGCCGGAAUCAUCCUCAAAA